CCUACGGGAGGCAGCAGUGGGGAAUAUUGGACAAUGGGCGAAAGCCUGAUCCAGCAAUGCCGCGUGUGUGAAGAAGGCCUUCGGGUUGUAAAGCACUUUCAGUGGGAAAGAAAAUCCUGGGGCUAAUAUCCCCGGGUCUUGACGUUACCCACAGAAGAAGCACCGGCUAACUCCGUGCCAGCAGCCGCGGU
rnacentral:rRNA from 1 species